rnacentral:lncRNA from 1 species
CCUGAGGGACGACAACUUUCCUUCGCCUGAGAGCUUAGCCACUCAGCCACUCCAUCGGUGCCCCUUCCGGCUCCGAGCAUCCCUCGCGCUGGUCUUUUCCAUCUCCGUCGGCUCUCCGCUGCUUCCAGUCCCCCGAAUCUCUCCACGGGGCUCCCCUGCAUGGGCCUCCGCUCUGGAGGACAAUCUCCAGAUGAUGCCAUG